rnacentral:tRNA from 1 species
UGGCUGAGUGGUAAAGCGCUGGGCUUCUAAACCAGGGGUCUGAGGUUCAAAUCUCAG